rfam:Glycine soja cultivar W05 scaffold3028_38, whole genome shotgun sequence.
UUUUUAUUGAAUGUUAACUUUCGUGUGUCAUGUGUUUAUUGAACGUUAAUUCUAUACACCUAAUUAAUAUCAAAUUCUAAUAAACUCAUGACAUGUGAUAGUCAACGUCU